UACGGGGGGGGCAAGCGUUGUUCGGAAUUACUGGGCGUAAAGGGCUCGUAGGCGGCCAACUAAGUCAGACGUGAAAUCCCUCGGCUUAACCGGGGAACUGCGUCUGAUACUGGAUGGCUAGAGGUUGGGAGAGGGAUGCGGAAUUCCAGGUGUAGCGGUGAAAUGCGUAGAUAUCUGGAGGAACACCGGUGGCGAAGGCGGCAUCCUGGACCGGCAUUGACGCUGAGGCGCGAAAGCGUGGGGAGCAAACAGG
rnacentral:rRNA from 1 species